CGGAGUUUCGAAGGAUACGUGUAACGCAGAGAUAUAUAUGUUUGUAGAAUUGGUAAAGGAAUAUAAACUUUGAUAGGUUGAAGCAGUGAUAUCCUUGGAUUAUAACCGCCACACAGUACUGCUGCCCGUCAAAGUGUUCAAGAGGAGGCGCCAUGGACCUGUCGCUGCAAACAGCGUUACUCCUCUGCUUAGGUGCAUGGGUGCAGUCCAGCGCAGCCAAUACCAGGACAAGUCUAAACAACGUCACAGACAAGGCCAUUCCAGUUGCUG